CGGGACGUGGCGCAGCUUGGUAGCGCACCUGCUUUGGGAGCAGGGGGUCGCAGGUUCAAAUCCUGUCGUCCCGAC
rnacentral:tRNA from 3 species